CAGCGCCGUUCCCAUGGCGACCGGGGGCGCGCGGGAGCCGCGCACGGGGAGGACGGAGCCGGCGGGAGAGCGGAGGGUUCCGGACGGCCUGCGGAGGCUGCGGGAGCUGCUGGAGCUCCGGCAGCGGCAGCUGCGGUCCCGCAUCGCCGCCUGCGAGGAGCUGCGGGCGGAGAUGGCCGCGCUGCGGGCGGCGCUGAGCCCCGGCCCGGCGGGCGGCGCGGGGCCCUGAGGAGCCCCGAAGGGACCGAGGAUCGGCCCCGCCGAAGGGACCGAGGGGUUUGGGGCUCCGGGAACGCCCGGGCGGUGCUGGGGGCGCGCAGGGAGCGGUGACGGCCGCACCCCCCCGGGCUGCCCCGCCGUGGCCUUGGAGCUCGCUCGCUGUCGCCGCGCUCGUGCCUUAUCGCAAUAAAUUUACACUUCAGAAUAAA